AUGAUCCUUCAUGCCACCCUUCAUUAACUCCAUCUCCCUCUCGAAGACGUAGUCAUCUUCCUGCGUCCUCCAAAGGCUCCCAACGGAGCCGCGACACUCACGGAAGUCGCCCAGCGAGUCGAAAGCACCCUUAAGAUUCCCGUACUCAACCUGGAAUUGAGAAGCGCAAGUCUUCAUCACCUCGACAAUUUCCCUCUUGCCCUUCCGUUCUGCCCUGCGAACAGCC
rnacentral:lncRNA from 1 species